rnacentral:rRNA from 1 species
GACGAACGCUGGCGGCGUGCUUAACACAUGCAAGUCGAACGGAAAGGCCCUGCUUUUGUGGGGUGCUCGAGUGGCGAACGGGUGAGUAACACGUGAGUAACCUGCCCUUGACUUUGGGAUAACUUCAGGAAACUGGGGCUAAUACCGGAUAGGAGCUCCUGCUGCAUGGUGGGGGUUGGAAAGUUUCGGCGGUUGGGGAUGGACUCGCGGAUUAUCAGCUUGUUGGUGGGGUAGUGGCUUACCAAGGCUUUGACGGGUAGCCGGCCUGAGAGGGUGACCGGCCACAUUGGGACUGAGAUACGGCCCAGACUCCUACGGGAGGCAGCAGUGGGGAAUAUUGCACAAUGGGCGGAAGCCUGAUGCAGCAACGCCGCGUGCGGGAUGACGGCCUUCGGGUUGUAAACCGCUUUCGCCUGUGACGAAGCGUGAGUGACGGUAAUGGGUAAAGAAGCACCGGCUAACUACGUGCCAGCAGCCGCGGUGAUACGUAGGGUGCGAGCGUUGUCCGGAUUUAUUGGGCGUAAAGGGCUCGUAGGUGGUUGAUCGCGUCGGAAGUGUAAUCUUGGGGCUUAACCCUGAGCGUGCUUUCGAUACGGGUUGACUUGAGGAAGGUAGGGGAGAAUGGAAUUCCUGGUGGAGCGGUGGAAUGCGCAGAUAUCAGGAGGAACACCAGUGGCGAAGGCGGUUCUCUGGGCCUUUCCUGACGCUGAGGAGCGAAAGCGUGGGGAGCGAACAGGCUUAGAUACCCUGGUAGUCCACGCUGUAAACGGUGGGUACUAGGUGUGGGGUCCAUUCCACGGGUUCCGUGCCGUAGCUAACGCUUUAAGUACCCCGCCUGGGGAGUACGGCCGCAAGGCUAAAACUCAAAGGAAUUGACGGGGCCCCGUACAAGCGGCGGAGCAUGCGGAUUAAUUCGAUGCAACGCGUAGAACCUUACCUGGGUUUGACAUGGAUCGGGAGUGCUCAGAGAUGGGUGUGCCUCUUUUGGGGUCGGUUCACAGGUGGUGCAUGGCUGUCGUCAGCUCGUGUCGUGAGAUGUUGGGUUAAGUCCCGCAACGAGCGCAACCCUUGUUCACUGUUGCCAGCACGUUAUGGUGGGGACUCAGUGGAGACCGCCGGGGUCAACUCGGAGGAAGGUGGGGAUGACGUCAAGUCAUCAUGCCCCUUAUGUCCAGGGCUUCACGCAUGCUACAAUGGCUGGUACAGAGAGUGGCGAGCCUGUGAGGGUGAGCGAAUCUCGGAAAGCCGGUCUCAGUUCGGAUUGGGGUCUGCAACUCGACCUCAUGAAGUCGGAGUCGCUAGUAAUCGCAGAUCAGCAACGCUGCGGUGAAUACGUUCCCGGGGCU